AUGGAUCAGGAGCUGAUCGAGCAUCUUGAGGCCAAAGUGAGUGCUGACAGCGCGAGAUCUCACCCUCUCAUCGAUUUGUUCAUACCAACCAUCGACAACGAGCACGACAUAUGCUACACCCAUCUUGAGAAACUUCCAGGUAUCACACUGAGUGGCCUAAGCAAGCAUUUCUUCUAG
rnacentral:rRNA from 1 species